AUGGGAAGGGCUGAGGGGACUGGAAGCACUGGAGUGACUGGGGACACUGGGGGCACUGGGUGCAAGCAGGGGGGCCGAGGGGGCCCAGCAGGCACAGGGCAGGGACAUGCAGAGGGCACCGGGGCCGGCUCCUGGCACGGGCACCCCCUGCUCCCCCGCCUCAGCAAACAGACGGGGACAGCGCGCGCUGCCCCAGCACCUCCCGGCCUGCCACCGCCCCCAGCGUCCUCUGUGUCCCCCCCAGGACCGAGGCACCCGCACCCUGAGCACCCCGUGGUGCUCCCCCCUUCCCCACGGGGUGACCAAAAGCAGCAGCAGGACACUGUGAAGCUCUUUAUUUGGCACCGCACAGCAAAACCACUCAACAAGCAGCUGGAAAACCGAGCUGGCAGCACGGGGCACGGCCGCCGUCCCACGGAGGGGGGCGACACCCAUCUUUGGGGUCCCCUUCUUGCCCCACAGCCUCCUCUGCAGAUGGAUGGACGGACGGACAGGCUGCCCCCUCUGCUCUUUGGUGGGCGAAAGGGGCUGGGGGCUGCUGGCAUGCCCCCCAGGGGACAAAGCAGCGUGGGCUCGGUGAAGGCACUGAGGGGGGGGCACGGCGAGCGGCUCCCCAGCUUGGGGGGGCAGCGGGACGGGGGCUGCCGGGACGGCACCCGCCCCACGGGGUCACCGGGCACACGUGGGGUGGCGGAAGGGGCGAGCGGGGUGGGGGGCGCACACACCGGGGGUCACACACAUGGGGCGGGGGGGGGGGCGCUGCUCCUUUUCACUCCUCCUCCCGGUUCUGGGCCCCCCCCCACCUGUGCCAGCGGCACAGCUCCUCCACCUUCCACUCCAGGCUGCGGACGGCGGCUUCCAGCCGCGCCUGGGGGCCGGGGGGGCUCUCCCCGCCGCCCCCCAGCAGCAGGUAGAGCCCCCAGAGCCCCAGCAGCAUCGCCGCCUGCGCCGUGGGGCUGCUGCCCUCGGCGGCCGCCACGCGGAGGAAGGCUCCCAGGAAGCAGCAGAGCUUCAGGCAGCGCAGCGCCGGCCGCAGCGGGGCCAGCAGCAGCCCCAGCAGCCGCGGCAGCAGCCGGGCCCCCGCCAGCGCCGCCAGCCCCCACAGCAGCACCCGCUGCACCUCGCCGGGGGCCAGCGCCGCCCCGCGCACCAGCCAGGCCCCUGGAGAGGGGGAGAACAACGGGGUCGGGGGGGUGCUGGCGGUGUGUGGGGGUCGUUGGAGCGGUCCCCCCCCAGCCCAGACUCACCGCCCAGGCCGCAGGCGCUCAGGAUGUCCCCCAGGAGGGUGCUGAGCACCGCCAGGGCGGCCGAGAUGGUGGAGGAGACGAGCCACAGCACGGCGGCCAGGCCCUGCGGGGGGAUACGGAGGGUGCUCGGGGGCUGGGGGGAGCGACGCCCCCCCCGAUGUCCCCAUAA
rnacentral:lncRNA from 1 species